UUAUAAUACAACCUGAUAAGUGUUACAACACUUAUCAGAUUGUAUUGUCAUU
rnacentral:pre_miRNA from 1 species